GUAUUUCUGAGCUGACAGCAAUGGGAGAAGGGACCUAUUACUGCAGUGUCCCUGGGUACCCAGUACCUUUGAGAUUCUGUGUUGCAUCAUCUUCACCAGAACGCUGAAAGAUGGAGAAACUAAUACACAGAGAGGGGAAGAAAUAAAGAACCAUGCCCAAAUUCACAAUGAAGUAGAGUUAAGCACAACUAUCUCACUGCUCUGAAAGAGUCUACUCUUGUCAUCUCCAAGAAGUCACCAACAAGGAGCUAAAGGAGUGAGGCCCUAGGAGCCAAAUGGUUGUACAUCCAUAUCCCAGAAUUUGUUCUAUUCCUCCCGCAUGACCCCAAAAGAGGCACCUGAAUGACCUUGGAAGACACCCUGUAAACCAUCCCCUACAUACACACUAGUAAAACCCUAGGCCCAAGCUUCAGCCACAAGAUCAAGGAACUUCCAAUGAAAUGGAUAAGAUUUGACUCUAAACCAAUGCUUGAUACUCAAGAUCCCUAAGUAAAUUAUGAAUUUUUCCCAGUAACUUAAAAUAACAUCUAUACCAUAUGGCACUUUUUGCUUCUCCAAAAUUUUUGUUUCCCUUCUCCUCAAAUGUAUGCUUCUAAAAUCCUGAGUCAGAUUAGAGGUUCCCAUUAUUUUCUCACCUCUGUCUAUUACAGGGCAGACAUGAUAAACCACUUGCUUUCAGAAUUUUGAGGAGUAAAAUUUUUUUUUCUUGCUCUCUUACUCAGAAGACCCAGUGGUGAGACAGUGAGAGGGUUGGUGCAGCUCUGCGAAGUCCGGCAAGGGGGUUCCUCAAGGAAUUGUGGGAAUCCUGGAGACAUAGUUACUGCUAUAUAUCUAACAGGUCUUGGGA